CUGUUUUCUUAUUAUUAUUUAGGGAUAACUUCAAAAAAAUCGCCUAUGAUUUUAUAUUUUCUCACUUUUGUACCCUGUGGUUUAAAGUGUCUCGAUUUACCUCCAUAUAGUUUCAUUUUUUUUUAUUAUUUUAAAAUCAAUGACAAAGUUAAAAUUAAAGGAUACUAAAGUAAAUAUUUGAUAAAUCUAGAUAAGUAUCUGAAAUUUUUUGUAUAUAAAUUAACUAAAUAUUAAGAAAAAAAACUGCUGAAAAGAUAAAAAUAAAACCACAGGGGAGCAAAUUGAUAUAUUUUUAAACUACAUGGUACUAAAGUGAGAAAGUGCACAACCACAUAAGGGAUUUUUGAAGUUUUUUCUAUUAUUUAUGAUAUCUCUGUAAGCAGCUUAUUCUGAAAUAUUCUGUUCUCUACAUAACUUUGACAAUCAUUAACUUGGCUAUUCAUUUUUCUAAAUAAGGUUAUUUCUGCGGUCCACUUUUACCUUGUAAUCCUCCAAAUUUACUAUCGGCUGUAAGAUACCAAUUCCCUUUGGAACUUUUUUCUUCUGUUUUGUAAGUGGAUUCUGCACGCAACGGUCUUUUAAAAGUUGAUAGCUCUGCAUUAAAUAUAUACAAAAAGAAAAGGCCGGUGCAAAAAGUUGAAUAAACUUCAUCUUUUAGCUCAAAAGAACAGGAACUAAUUACUAGAUCCUCCCUGUCACUAUCAGCUUCAUUGACUAGAAUGGUUGAGACCACGACCCAAUUGAAACGAAGGUCCACUCAAUCCUUUUAAAAGCGAAUCCAACGUAACAAUUACUCUUAGCCCAGAAAACAGGGACCCUUACGGCCCACCAAAUCGGCCCAAUUAUUAAUUCACGUAUUUAAAGCCACCUAUGCAUGCUCUCCCUGCCCAAAAUAUAAUUGAAAUGCGCAGGUGCCGUAGAAACUUGAAAUGAGAUCCUAGCACUCAGAUUAUAAAAUUCUAAUCUAGAUCUGCUGUUCCCGCUGUGGAAAGAAACUAUUGGACUUUAUCAAACAGCAUUAAAUUUUGUCGCAGCUGAAACACGACCGCAAUAACAUUUUGGUUCGAAUCGGAAAUUGACAGUGUCUUGGACCACAAAUUCCAUCAUGUUCAAACAUUUGAUUCCGUAGUAACCUCCGAACUCAGAUUCUCCGAACACCAAAUGGGAAAACAGUUAUUACUCAUAAUCUAGACCGGGAUCGAGCUCUACAGUGGCAAACCAGUUAUCUAUCUAUCAAUCUAUCUAUCUUUGAUUCACAACUUGUUGAGUUAAGCUCGGAGGAAAAAGCCAAACGCAGGAAAUAUAGUUGAAAGAUGCAGGAUUAGAUGACUUUUGAUUGGCCUCUCAGAAACCCCCCCUCAAGUUUCUCUUUCUAAUCUACGGGCCCCAUCCACCAUCUUUCUAAGUUUAUGUCCUAAAGAAAAGAAAAGAAAAGAAAAGAUGAGGGAAAUGAUGGGAUUUGUAACUCACCUUCGUAUUGGUGACGGAUUUCAUGAAUAGCUUCCAAUUCCCCAUUCAGAUCUGCGGAGCUCACUUGCUAUUUAUAUCCAGAGAGAGAGAGAGAGAGAGAGACAGACAGAGGACCUGCUCGUCAGCUGUGCAUCCGUGCUCCAUCUCAUUCGGUGGGUUUAAUACUCUGCUUGGAUUUGGAUAUCUCUCUUUCCUUUUCUCUCUNNNNNNNNNNNNNNNNNNNNNNNNNNNNNNNNNNNNNNNNNNNNNNNNNNNNNNNNNNNNNNNNNNNNNNNNNNNNNNNNNNNNNNNNNNNNNNNNNNNNNNNNNNNNNNNNNNNNNNNNNNNNNNNNNNNNNNNNNNNNNNNNNNNNNNNNNNNNNNNNNNNNNNNNNNNNNNNNNNNNNNNNNNNNNNNNNNNNNNNNNNNNNNNNNNNNNNNNNNNNNNNNNNNNNNNNNNNNNNNNNNNNNNNNNNNNNNNNNNNNNNNNNNNNNNNNNNNNNNNNNNNNNNNNNNNNNNNNNNNNNNNNNNNNNNNNNNNNNNNNNNNNNNNNNNNNNNNNNNNNNNNNNNNNNNNNNNNNNNNNNNNNNNNNNNNNNNNNNNNNNNNNNNNNNNNNNNNNNNNNNNNNNNNNNNNNNNNNNNNNNNNNNNNNNNNNNNNNNNNNNNNNNNNNNNNNNNNNNNNNNNNNNNNNNNNNNNNNNNNNNNNNNNNNNNNNNNNNNNNNNNNNNNNNNNNNNNNNNNNNNNNNNNNNNNNNNNNNNNNNNNNNNNNNNNNNNNNNNNNNNNNNNNNNNNNNNNNNNNNNNNNNNNNNNNNNNNNNNNNNNNNNNNNNNNNNNNNNNNNNNNNNNNNNNNNNNNNNNNNNNNNNNNNNNNNNNNNNNNNNNNNNNNNNNNNNNNNNNNNNNNNNNNNNNNNNNNNNNNNNNNNNNNNNNNNNNNNNNNNNNNNNNNNNNNNNNNNNNNNNNNNNNNNNNNNNNNNNNNNNNNNNNNNNNNNNNNNNNNNNNNNNNNNNNNNNNNNNNNNNNNNNNNNNNNNNNNNNNNNNNNNNNNNNNNNNNNNNNNNNNNNNNNNNNNNNNNNNNNNNNNNNNNNNNNNNNNNNNNNNNNNNNNNNNNNNNNNNNNNNNNNNNNNNNNNNNNNNNNNNNNNNNNNNNNNNNNNNNNNNNNNNNNNNNNNNNNNNNNNNNNNNNNNNNNNNNNNNNNNNNNNNNNNNNNNNNNNNNNNNNNNNNNNNNNNNNNNNNNNNNNNNNNNNNNNNNNNNNNNNNNNNNNNNNNNNNNNNNNNNNNNNNNNNNNNNNNNNNNNNNNNNNNNNNNNNNNNNNNNNNNNNNNNNNNNNNNNNNNNNNNNNNNNNNNNNNNNNNNNNNNNNNNNNNNNNNNNNNNNNNNNNNNNNNNNNUUUUUUUUUUUUUUUUUUUUUUUUUUUGCAUACUAUCUGUUUCGUUUGUUUUUUUUAGAAAUAAAAUUAGCUAGAAAUAUAAAUCAAUUAGAAUUCGAAUUUGAGACAUCUGAAACUAAUCACCAAGUUCUUUGUCACUUACGCUAAGAACAGUUCAUCAAUUGGCUGUACAUUAAUUGAAUGUCUAUGGAACAUGUAAAAGCAUGUUUCUAACGAAAGGACUAAGAGUAGGGACAGAUUUUGGCCGGCUGCUGAAGUUUAAUAAGGAAUUGGGGGAAAAUACAAGGAAAAAAAAAAAAAAGAGAGAGUAUGAUUGAUUUGGACAUCUUUGCCCUUGGCCCUUUUAGUGAAUAUGCCUUGGCUAUUGGGCAUCUUCAUCUUUGUUUCCUCUCGUCUAAUAUAUUGGCAUUAUUAUUGCUCUCAAAUGAUCAUGUUCGGCUGUAGAGUAGAAAGGAUGCUUACAGCAGGCAGUUACAAAACCCAUACUGCCUUAAAAAUCUGAAUCUGAACAAGAUAGACGAAAAGAGCCAUACUGACAAGAAGAAAAUAAAAAGGGCUUUUUUUGCAAAUAGCCCCCUAAUAAAUUUUAUUUGUAAAAAUAGCCCUGCCUAAAAUUUAUUUGCAAAAUGGCCCUAGCCCUGCCACGCCAGCGCCACGUCAGCGCCACGCGGGCAGGUCCUGGGCCAGGUGGUUGACUUGAACACGGUAAUUCGUUUACCGUGUCUAAACGCGGCUAACGAAUCACCGUGUUCAUGGGGACAGGCAAACUCGCGACGGCAACGGUUUUGCAUUAGACACGGUGAUUCGUUCACCGUGUCUAAACACGGUGAACUAUUCACCGCGUUUAGACACGGUGAACCAUUUACCGUGUCCCUCCCAAAUACGGCCUGGCUUGUUGUAUGUGUAUUGGACACGGACUUAGCCAUUUUCGGGAGCGGAUAAUAGAUCUGUAUUGGACACGGUGAAUAGUUCACCGUGUCCAAUACGUUUGCUUUUCAUGGUGAAUGGAUCACCAUGGGCAAUACCAUUGUAUUGGACACGGUGAUCCAUUCACCGUGUCAUGACACGGUGAAUGGAUUACCGUGUCCAAUACAUUUGAUAUGGACACGGUGAAUGGAUCACCGUGUCCAAUACAACUUUUCCAACUUUACAAUUGCCGCAGAAAAAUAAAUUAUAAGAUUCAAUACAAGAAUACAAUACAGAUACCUAUCAAUACACAUCACAACACAUCACAACACAUAACAACAUCACAAAAGUAAUACACAUCACAACAUCACAAAAUUAAUACACAUUACAACAUCACAACCAAUAGAAUCUCAAUAAUAUAAUAAAUACCAAAUAAUCAAAACAGAAUAUACAAAAUAAAUACAAGUUAUACAAUAAUAUAUAAAUAUAAUAUCAUGUUCUCCUCCCUCGACCUCCUCGACCACGUCGCCUACCACGUCCGCGUCCGCGACCACGACCAACAUCAUGCUCAUCAAAAGGCUCCAAGAUCUCCAACUGGUCUAGAUGCUCUAUAGCAGCACCCUCAAUAGCCGGCUCAAUCACAGCAGUAGCAUGUGCCGGUAGUAUGUGUGGCCGUGGAGGAGCUGAAGAGGAGGGCUGAUCUUGCCGUGGAGGAGCUGAAGAGGAGGGCUGAUCUGUACGGAUAGACCUCGAUCGCCGUCGACGCCUAAAAUAAACAAUAUCACCUGCUCGAGCUGGAUCCUGCGGUACUAGUGCUGGGUGCCGGGUGCCGUAACAUCAGCAUAAGCGGUGGGCUCACCUAUCGGUGAUGAUGGCAAUCCGGUGGAUUUAUAUACGGUGUGCUUCAUUGGCCGCGACGUCGAAUGUCACCGAGUUGCUGGUCCUGGAGGUACAUAGUGUGGAAAGCGGUUAGUAAGUUCUCCAGAACUGACCUACAUUCCUGAAUCGGCGACUGUGAUCAGGGUAGCUUAAGACGUCACCUCUGAAAUAUCGGAGUAGGACCGUACUGAUGUAUAAUGUGAUCUUCGCCACGAUAUCAAACCUGAAAAAAAGCACAAGUCAAAAAAGAUUAUACUGAAACUGUCUUGGUAUAUAUAAAAUUAAUAUAAAAGAUAUUUGCAAUUACAGUUUACAAUAACUCGCUCGAACGCUGUCACGUCGGUGAUAAGGCGAAGUGGUGCCGCUGUACAGGUCUAGAUAUCCACUCCUGUUGGUGAUCGUCCUCCCAAUACCACUGCAUGUAAAGUAUUAGUACGUAUCGGUAUCUGGAUCUUGUCCAGGGGCACCUCCUGUCUAUUAUCUAUAAUCUAUCAUUUCAAUCGGGCUCAAUGUUGAGGCGUGUUGCGUAUGCGCAAAUNNNNNNNNNNNNNNNNNNNNNNNNNGUAUAAUUAUGUCAAAUCAGGAUUAAUUUACUGGUUUUAUAAACUUAUUUUACUGGUACAAGUGAGUUAAAUAUAGUUAGGGAUAUAGGGUAGGAAAUAUCUUAUCCUUGCCAGCUACAAUGCUCAAACGACCAUCACACCCUUUCAACACAUCGGAGGAGCAUGAACCAUCAAGGGAUAAUGUUUACUAGUGGAUUCUGACAUUUAGUAAAUAGUUUGGUCAAUUCUUCUGAAGGAGAUAACGAAGAAACACGUUACACGAAAACUAUGUAUUGGUUAGACUGUUUUUUCCCCUCACCUUCUCAUAUGUUGUUUUAUUUGUUGUCGCAGUAGCAGGCAAAGACAUGAAUAUUAUAGGACAGGUAGCCUCAGUUCGCAUCGAUUACGACCAAUGUUAUUCUCUUUCAAAUCUCAUACGUAUUUUAUGUCUCACAUAAGCAGAUAGAUUAUCUCAGAUAACAGAUUACCAUCUCAAUGUGAAAGGCGUGCACACUCUUUCUGCUACCUGAUGUCAGUAAUACAAUAGAAUUUGGUAUGUAAUAUGUAAACCUAUGAGAUACGGCUGUGCACAACCGUAAAAAAGUUCUCUGACUAUAGAAAAACAUGAAAGUAGAGUUAGUAAGAAAGCUUCUCUAACAUACAGUAUGUCCUACAAAUAUGUAUUAGAAAAACAGUAUCUCAUUUUAUAUGGUUGAAGAGUUACAAAUUCUCUCAGUUGCAAAGAAAAAAAAACAGGGAGCCACAGCUGAGAUAAAGAAAUAUCAAAUGCUCACACAAUAGCAGUAAAAUCAGACAAAUUACAAGAAACACGUCAAAAAGAUAAUUUAGAAAUAAACAAUAUAUGAUACCCUUAUCUUUUAAAAUAUGAAACGAAAAACAACUUUAAAACACCAGAAAGAGAUCACAAUUCAACUAAUUUUUCGAACGGUAGAAAUUUAUAUAGUUUUAAAAAAAAUAUAAUCUUAGCCCAAUAAUUGCUAUAGUGGUCAAAGGGAACACAAAUACCAAAACAGACUGCGCGGGAACAGAUUGACCUUCUAAAAGUGCUCUUCUAGUAUACUAAAUAGUCAAAGCAAGACAUGAACAUUUACUGAUAUGUUUGGUGUAGGAGAGAGAAUAGGUGCAAUAAAGGAAUUUAUUCACCCUUAUCUCAACACAAAACAAAAAAUACGGUCGGAACAUAAUUCAUCUCCUUAACGGUAUUCUUAGAAUAGGCCGUUAAGGGGUGGAACUUGUGUUCCACCCCCAAGGCUGAACAAGCUGGGUUACGAUGCUUGUCCACGAGAGAGGAAGGAGAGAGAGAAUUCUUUAAUUUAUUAUAAAGUUUAAAUUGUCGUAAGUUUAAAAAAUUAAAAUUUUAUAUUUUUAAAAAUUACAAAAUUUUAAAAUUUUAAAUUUAAAUUUUUUAAUUUAAAUUUUAAAAUUGAGUAUUUUAAAUUUUUUAUUUAGAAUUUGAUAUUUUGUAUUUUAUUAAAUGUAAAAUAGUUCAUCUUAUAAUUUAAAGAUUUAAGAUUUAAAUAUUUAUUUUUUAAAUUAUAAAUUUGAGAUAUUAAAAUUUUAAAUUUUAAUUUGAUUUUUAAAUUUAAAAGUUAUAAUAUUUAUAAAUUUAAAAUAUAAAUAUAAAAUAUAAAAAUUCUUAAUUCUAAUAUAAACGAAAGAAUGAUAUUAUUAUUUUUAUUUUAUAACUCCAACGUUUAAUUCUUAUUCUAUUACUAACCGAAACGCUUAUUUUUUAUUUAGGAAUAACCAAUUUUCAAAGUAAUUGAUCUAAAUUACUCGCACUUAUACCUCAAUUUAUUACCUAAAUACGCGAAUUACUCCAUUUUUGCUUAUUCAUCGAACCAAAGCGAAUACCUUAGUAAAUUGAGUAGAACUUUACGACGAAAAGAUUGGAAAAGCCACAAAAACUAAAUAUACAAUACUAUUAGAAAUGACACACAGCAUUCUGCGAUCGACCGAAAUAUUAUAUUGGAAAACUUGGUAAAGGAAUAACAAUAAGAGGCUCUUCAAAUAAUGAAAAUAAAAUCAGCCUCAGAGAAGAUGGCAAGGCCAUCUAGCAAGUGUAACAUCUUAUAUGUAUUCUGCAUACCUCACAUCCAACUUGAACCCAUUUUCUCCGUGGACUUCAUUCAUAGCAGAACAUGUGUCAGUCAGUCCAUUGGAAAGGAGCUACCAGCAGAAUGAAGCUUCUUCUUUGUAGAGCACCACAAGGAAAGAGAAUCAGUUUGUCCUCGCUCAGAGCGUAGAAGGGACAUACUUCCUCGAACAUCUGAAGUCGUCUGUGAACAGAGAAAGGGAAUUAAAGUUCUCGCACAAGUAGCUAUUGUGAGUUCAUGUAUCAAAGUAUGUGAGAACUCGUGAGUAUUUGUGGGAAAUGCCAAUGACCAACUGGUAAUUAACUAUUACAUUUAUGAAUUUUUUUCUAGGUAACUAACUACGGAGAUGAUUAACUGUACUAUUUAUAGGCCUCAUAGUUACAGACAAAAUCAAAACAAUUGUAAAUCGAUUACAGGACAUGUUCUAAGCCCCCAGAUCUGCCAUAUUAGGGGGAAAGAAAAAGGACGAUCCAUAGAGAUUACUUGUUUUAGGGUACAUGAAAUGGGCAACAAAUUCAAAAAGAAGCAUUGGAAAUCAGAAGUUAGACAUAACUAAAUUAUUAAAAAACCUUCUAAUUAAUAUUGCAGCUCAGACCAAGGAGAAUUUUUAAUCGUUGAGCAGAACAGAGAUUUCCAGCAGUCUCAUAAAUCAUCAACACAAAUGGAGAAAAGAACGACAUGUACACAUUAAGCGACCAGAUUCCUUGGCUUUCCCUUAGUGAUCCGAACCAAGCCGCACGACGAUGAUCAAAAAGGAACUGGACAAUCCCCUUAUUAAUAAAGGGAACGGCCUUUGCAUCACCGAAACGCCCAAAAUUUCACAACAUUAAAUCAUAUUGGGCGAUAAAUACGAAGAAAUUGAUAUAUCUUAAGUUCUCGUCCACUUUUCACAUCAAAUAUUGAGAUGAGGAACCAACAAAUGAAACGGUGUUUCCUCCCGCCGACAGAAAAAAAAAAAAAAAAAAAAAAAAAACGCGAGAGAAGGGAAGAGGAGAGGAAAGGAACCUGUCGAAGGAUCACCGAGGAAGGUCGUGCGGAGCUCGAGAGGUAAAGCCAAAAGCAGAGGGAGAAGCCGCCGCCGCCGCCGCCGCCGCCUUCGGCUUCCGCUUCCGCUUCUGCUUCUGCUGCCGCAGCCACUCGAUCGAGGCUUACUCGCACGUCUCGGAGCCUGGAGUAGUCCUCUUCGCCGCGCUCCCCUUUCGCCAUGGUCGAUCGCUCUUCGAGUUUUGGGGAUUUUGUGAGGGGAGAGAGAGAGAGAGAGAGAGAGAGAGAGAAGAGAUGCGGAGAAGGGAACAGAACCCUUUCUUUUUUUUCGUUUUCUUUUUUUUCCUCCUUUUUUAUUUUCUGAGGGGUUUUCCCUUUUGGUUUGCUUGUGUCGGGUGUUAGUUAACGGUCUCUCCGCUUCCAAUGAAGUCCACUUGGGAGUUAGGUAUUUGAGGUGAGGAGGCAGCCGGUUGAUCUGGACCGUCCGUGGGAUCAAUGAAGCUCCUUGAUUCAGUUAAAUAGUAGGACCUUCCUAGCCCUUGGAAUUAAUCUUUUUUUUAUCUAAAUUUGCUUUUGCAAUCGUCAUUAGAUAAACAUAAAACAACAUACUUCUCUAGUGGCAUUUAUGUGUUUCUUCUGUGACGACUGCAACUAUAAUUAUAAUUAUAUAGUAUAAAAAAUUUAAAAUUUUUAAAAAAAUUUAUAAUAUUAAAAUAAUAUUUUUAAUCACUGUAUUAUCAAAUUAGGCCUAAACAAUGGCGGUAAAUUAAUCUUAUUUCAGGUACUCCGGUAUCACGCUUUUCUAAAUUAUUAGCAUUAUUAUAUAUAUGAUUUUCAUAAUUUUCUUAAAUUCAACGGAUGAGUCCUUAAACUCUAAAAUUUUAUCCUUUGAAAAUAUCUCAAUCUAUAGUUAGAUUUCAAAAUUUCCCUGCAAAGCUAUGUUUAUAAUUCUCACCAACAUGUUUUGCAGGUUUAUUUGUGAGCGGCAUGAUGGCGUGAGGAAAGGACGUGGUUCAUAGAUAGCGUCCUAUCAUGGCGACUUGAUAGAUGCUACCCUCCCAAGUGUUGUUUUGGGGUAGUGUGAGAGCAAAUGUAUUUGUAUGCAGGAUUGUAUUUGGAUAUAGAAUGUAAAAUGUAACCAUGGGACGAAUAGUUGUAAUGGUUUGUUAUUUCUACUAUGAUUCAUUUGUUAUACAGUCUGUCUAUCUUCUCUAUUCAUAUAUGGAAUGUUCUUGAGUUGUAUUGAUUGUAACAUCUUGCGCAGAUAAGAAAAAUUUUAUUCGUUCGGCGGGUCUGGUGCAUGCGUCGUACGAACUUUCUCUCUAAAUCAAAGAAAAAGGAGGCGGCGAGGCAUGAUAGAUUAAGAUAGUAUCAGCAUGCAUCUCAAUAACUUCUUUGCAAAAAAAGUUUGUAUCAAAUUCAAUAUUUUGUUUUAAAUAAAGCAAAAUAUUUAGAAAACACAUUGAAUUUGAAUGGUUCAAGAUUUUUUUGGCAUAUUGCUUCAGUUCUAUAUCUAAACAUAUAUUUGAGAGAGAUCAGCUUCUUCCCUCGAGUUAACUAAUUUGAAAUUUUAUUUAAUAAUAUUAUACAAUUUAUGUAAAAUUCUAUUUUACUAAAUAUAAGUCAUUUUCCCUGGCCGACUCGUCCUAAUGAAACUUGCUAUAGAAGCGAAUAGAUAUGGCGGUUUACAGCAGACGUGGUAGACCGAUUCCACGUUUAUUAUUUCUCCUAAUCAACGGCUGGUGGGCUACGUGAUCAAUAUUAGAGAACGUCCUGAUCCGCUCCUAUGAUCCUAUCACGAUGCUGAUCGGUUCGGGUUUCGCAGUAACCCGAUCCACUCCCGAAUCCUCCUAACCGCACCACCACCGCGCGCGCGCGCGCGCUCGAGCGAAUUUUGAGCUCGCCCCGUCCUCCCUCUCGUGCGCGCUCGCCCACACGUGCGAGCGAGCUCACGAUGGUUUCCCAACGAGUCGCCAUGGAUAGGGGUGUUAAGAUCCAGCAUCAACGGAGGAAGACGAUGUUAAGAUCCUACCCGACCUUCCCUCUCCUCGAGGAGAAGAGGCGAUCCUGCGCACACAUCAAACAAGGUUCUCCCUUCGAUUCGGUUUUGACGCUUCAGUUUUUCCUAAUGCUUCAGGGAUUUGGGCUUUUGAUUAUCCGUUUUAGGGCUUUAGAGUUUUGAUGGUUUAGGGUUUUAGGGUUUUAGGUUUCGAUUACCUGCGGGUAUCCUUCAGGCGAGGUUUCCCUGCAAUCCGGUGUGAGUUUUAGGGUUUGAGUCAUCGGUUACAGGGUUUUAGGAUUCUAGGGUUUGACCGCAAAUUUCCAGUUUUAGGAUUUUAGGUAUUCGGCGUUUAUUAUCUCAACCUUCUCGAUUGCGGAAGAUGGAUUUCAGGGUUAGGGGAUAAGAUCCUUUUUGGUCUAUUAGGUUUCAAUUGCCAACUCUAGAGUUAAGCCUUGCUUGGGAAGCUUUUAAAUAUUCUUUGCUGUUUGGUCCCUGUAAUCGAGUCUAUGAUGUGUUAGUUAAUCUACCGCUUAAACACUGCAAUUUGGAAAUGAGAUUGGAGAUAUGUUAUGUUUAUUAUAGAAAAAUUAUCUGCUGAAUCAGGUGUAAGUUCAUGUUGAUGUAGAUAUAAUGAUGUCAGGUUCAUGCAGAAUAGAAAAUACACUUUCAACCUUUUCUCUUGUGAUAUUACGAGGUUAAGUUUUAGUUACACCUUUAUGAAGUAAGUUGUUCAUUGCAACCUGUAGACUGAGAGGUAAAGCUUAUAACUGAUGGAAAUUUUUUCCGAAAUGAGGCCUCUCUGGCAUCAGACUGCUAAUUCCAAAUGCUAAUGUGGCCAGUUUUCUCUUCUUUCCAUUCCCAUAGAUGGUUUGGUUGAGCUGAGUUAUAUUUAUGGAUGAGUAGCAUGUGCUAAAUUAUGUCUUGGAAAACAAGGCAUUAGGAGCUCUCUGUAGCUCAUCCUUGAUGUCCUAAUUUUUUCCUUGUGUGAGGUUAGCGGGGCAAAUCCUUUUGUUUUUUGGUUGGGGUAGCCUUUUCAAUGAUGUAAGUCCUUAAUGUCCCCCCAUCAAAGAGUUUAAAAAAGGGAUCAGAAUUCUUGCUGGUCGAAGCUUUUUAGCGAAUUUAGCUCUCCAUGAUAUAAUAAUUGAUGUCUCAACCGGUAGUAUUAGUAAGCUACUAACCAAAAUGCAAGAUUGGUACUUCAUGUAUGUGGCCAUUUUUUCAGACCAACACAUGAUGUAUGCCUCACUCUGAAUUAUCGUAUGGCAAAACUACAAUAUUGUUGUUCAAUUGUCGACAGUCAUGAUCACUUGAGCAGGCAUCUGGUCAUCGACGAGGCAUGUUUCUUUCUAGAUUCUUUUACUUUGUUGGUAAAUUUUUAUGAGUCGAAAUACGUGAGUUAUCUGUGAUCUAUAUUUCUUCACAAUAGCAACAGCAGGAUUUUAGAAACAACUCUGCUGAACAUGUAAUAUGAGUUUAAUCACCUUCUGGAGGAGAGAGUCAGAUAUUUCCAGAACUAGUUAUUCAUUCUAUUAUGUGAACAUGGGCAUGCAAGAAUUGCAAUCUAAUCCCUACUAAUUGCAACAAAUGCUAAGGUCGAUAUUCUACAGGAGUUGUUUUUGGAAUCCUAUCACACCUUUUGAUAUCUUGAUUGUUAAUAUUUGGUUUAUGAAUUCCCAUUAGGUGAUGUUUCAUCAACAGCAUAGAAGCCUUUAAGUGUGAUAUCCUUCUUUCAGCGAUCAGAUGUUUGUUCAAGUGGUUGUGAUUGUCUAUAAUUGGAUAAAUUCAGCCGCAAACUUGUCAUGUGCAAGUCCAGACUAACACAGCUCAUUUGUAUGGAAGGUAGCCCUAUAUAGAAAAUACCAAUAGGUUUUGCACUUCCAGGUAGCCACACAUUGACAUUAGAUGAUAGUUAAUGUAGCUCUAGGUUGCUGUCAAGAUCUUUAAUGUUGGACAUUCGAUAGCUGCAUAAUCACCUAAAUGAAUUGCAAGAUAUUUUUCUGAAGGCAUGAGUGCCUAACCACAUUGUCACCAAAUAAAAAUUAGUUAAUCAAGUAUCAUGAAUAGAAAAAUAUUUUUGGGUUUUGUGAAUUUUUAAGUUGACAAAAGAAAAGGAGCAAAAUUGAAUUCAAUUCUUGAUGGGUAGCAAACUGCUGCAGAACAACUUCAGUGUUCUAUAUUUUAUUCUCAGACCAGGAAUAUGAAGAUUAUUUUUUAUUUUCCAACAAGGAGGUUAUCGAAUAAGCGAGUUCCGCAAGAGCUUUCGCGUUGAGAUUCUCAUCUCUCAGUGGGUUCUUCAUGGCUCUUCCUUCAAAGAGUAGGAUAUCACAGUCGUCAGGUGUGUCCUCGGCAUGCUGCAAUUUGUCAAUGGCAUUCUCUAUAUUCCUGGCCUUGAUGUCUCCUAUGGAACCUGUCACUGAUUGCUUCAUCUCCCUGUAGUAGCGAAUGCAUGCGAUGAGAUUGUUGACGAGAUCUUCGGUAAUGUCUAUGAUUGAGGUGAUGUUGAUUUUUGUGAGGUUGGCAGCAAGGAGGGCGAGCUCGCGAGUGUCGGCGGAUGUGCUUUUAGGCACGGCAUAGAGAGUUUCCAUGCAGAAUCGGUAGUCUACUGAGCGCACCCUCUCUACAGCCUUGCAGGUCUCGUUGAUGACGGAGGCUGCAGAUACAUAAUGAGGGGAGAGGGCUACAACAAGUAUAAGGAGCACGGCGGCAAGCAAAGAGGGGCUCAUUGUUGAGAGAUGAGAGAGGAGAUGGAGUUUGGGAUUGGUGUGAGUACGUAUGCACGUCGUAAGAAGCUACCAAGUUUGCUAAGCCAUUAAAUAAGGAUAGUUUUAUGUACUCGAUAGUUAAUACUGUGCCUUGGUCUUUGGUAAUUGACAUCUUCGUGAUGUAUAGUACAUUCAAUGCAUGAUAUAUAUUCCUCGAAGCGAGAAGAAUAAUUUUCAUGAUUCUAUGUCCAUUUAAUGCUGAGCAAGAAUUAAUUCCUGUUCGGAACUUCUACAUAAGAUUCCUGCUCGGAAUUUUGGACCGAAAUCUUUACACAGGUUGGAUGCAAAUUCUCUGCAGAUAUUUUGUGCAGGGAAUCCUUGAACGGCUGGGUUAUCUGGUUGCCCGUCUAAUCACGAAGCACUUGCUGAUUUCUAGAUCACCACCAACAAAGGUUGAGAUGGCGACGCGCAUUUCCGAUGGGUGAUCAGAUCACUUCCUUCCUGCGAGGAUGGAUUCGAGUAUAUCAGAAGUGCUGAGAAAACACAAGUAUUUGAAAAACUGUCAGUUGCAGGUUAGACUGUCGGUUUUUAUGCGUCCUUCGUCUCAUUUCUAUUUUCAAUUUCUUACUACGGAGCAAGUUGUAGUUUUUGUUUUCUAUAUUUUGUCAUUAAAUUUUCACCAUUUGUGUGCUGCAUUAGGCGAGUAUAUUUUAUAGUAGCUUGUACUGUCGAAGCAAAAUAUGGUUGAAAACUUUUUUCGGUGCUGCGAUGCCGAAUAGGCCUUUGUUGCUGGUGGUCGCACUCCCCUUAUCCUUUGUUAGUGGUCUGAACCAAUUGAAAAAAAAAGAAGAAGAAGAAAAAGAAAUUGGUAUAAUGUUUGAAAUUUUACUUGCAUAUCAAUUAUAAUUCUCUUAAAUUUAUUUAUGCGUGAUAAUGUGGUCCCGGGACCAGUAACUGUUCUGACUUCUGAGCUUUCGAAUCGUCAUCAUAAUCCCGGGCAUCUUUAAAGCAGCAGAGAUGUCUACACUCUAGCACUUUUUUAUAAAACAAUCCUCUAAAAUUUUAAAAUUUGCGAAAUAAUCCUCUCAAAAUUUUAUUUGUAAAACUAAUCCACUUUUCACCAAAUCAGCGCCACGUCAGAAUUUCUUUUAAAGACGGUGAAUUAUUUACCGCGUUCUCCAAUUUCUUUUAAAGACGGUAAAUCGUUCAUCGCUUUUCCAUUUCUUUUAAAAACGGUAAAUCAUUCAUCGCAUUUCUCUUAUUUACUGUUACUUUCUAUAUCUCAUAUAUAAUUCUAACAAUAAUAUAAAAAUUCUAAUAAAUCACAUAUAAUCUUAACAACCUUUAAAUCCUAAUAAUUUAUCCAUAUAAUUUGCCUUUAUAUGAAAUUAUAUGGAUAAAUUAUUAGGAUUUAAAAGUUGUUAAGAUUAUAUGGAAUAUAGAAAGAAACAGUAAAUAAGUGAAAGGCGGUGAAUGAUUUAUCGUCUUUAAAAAAAAAUAGAAAGCGGUGAACGAUUUAUCACCUUUAAAAGAAAUGGAUAAAAGCGAAAAACGAUUCACCGCCUUUAAAAGAAAUAAGAGAAAACGGCAAACGAUUCACCGUCUUUGUAAGAAAACCCUAAUGUGGCGCCCACGUGGCGAAAAGAGGGUUAGUUUUACAAAUAAAAUUUUUAUAUGGUCAUUUUACCAAUUAUAAUUUUUUAGAGGGUCAUUUUAUAAAAAAACCCACACUCUACAUCACCAGUCAACGUGUUUCUUUCUCGGUGCCGUUCCCAUCUCAUGCACGAAUGACGGAAUGAGUGGACGACGAAACUACUCGCCUGACCAUGUCGUCCACUAGUCCGCAGCCUAUAGCCAUAGUUUAUCACAUAUCCGUUGGAUUCGGAAAAAAAAAGUUUUUUAAUUAUUUUAAAUAUAGAUAUAAUUUUGAAAAUAAAUUAGAAAUAAAAUCAACUUUUAUAUUUAAAUAAAAUUUUAAUUAUUUUUAGAAAAAGAAAAUAAUGUUUAGAUAAUUAGAUUGGAAUAGUAUGAAUAAAUGUAACUAAUACUUUCAAAAUAAUAAUAUUUCAAUAUAAUUAAUUAAUGUUAAAAUAUUAAUCAAAUAAUGAUUUAAUUGAAUAAAUUAUGAAUACUGUUCGGUAACUAUACAUUUUAAUUAAUUCUUUAAUAAAUUAAUUAGUUAAUUAUUUGAAAAUAAAUAGAUUAGUCCAAAUAUUAAUUAGUUAAUCAAUAUAGAUAUUAGUUAUUGUAUAAUCAAACUAAAUAAUUAAUUUUUGUAAUUAGCUAUUCAAUUAAAUAUUUAUUAGCGUAAUAAAUCUAAUAGGUAAUUAUUUAUCUAAUUAAUUAGUAAAUAAAUUAAUUAAUAAUGUUUUAUUAUUAAAUUAGUAGAGGUAUAAGAGGAAGAAUUGGUUGGAAUAAUAAUUUACCCUCUUAACGGGUUAUCACGGGAUAACCUGUUAAGAGGGGAACUAGAACUUAAACCAAACAAUGCCUUAACGAGAGAAAAUAAACGGAUUUGGAGCGAAAAAUAGAAUAAUUUUUACUAGUGUAGUAAUCCGCGCGAUACGACGGAUAGAUAUUAUUGAACAAUUAUCUUGUCUAUCAUCAUCAUUGAUCAUCGAUGAUAGUUUGAAAAAAUAAAUUUGAAAUAUAUAGUCAUCAAAUAAAUAGAAAAUAGUAGUCUAAAUAUGAAGUAAAGAAUAUUAAUUUAAAUAGUCUGCAAGAAAGACGAUCAAUGAUCUGAUAUGAACGUUAUAGAGAUUAAUAGCGUUGAAAAUUAGAUCAAUCAAAGAUAAAAUUAAUAUAAAAUGAUGUGAAACCCUACUAAUUUGAGGUGAUUUUGAACGGUGGGUGAGAUUUAGCAAAAAUUCUUAAGCCAUUCGAAAGAAAGAGAAAGUGGUGGUAGAUAAAUAUUACUAACAAAUUCUUUAUAAUAACUUUACAAAUAUUCAUGGUGAUUAUGGAGAAGAAUGGAGCGUUAUGCAGAUGAGGGAAGAUAGAAGGACAUGGGGUGAGAAAGGAAGAUGGAGAAUUUCAAUGUUUUGGAUUAAAAGGGUUUGCGGUGAGUCGGUGACUAUAGACAAGAAUGAUGAGUUACAUAGAAGGGGAAAGAUGAAGGAACGUGGGAAGGGAAAGGGAAGAGGAAGGGACACGCGAGAUAUAAAAGAGGGAUGGUACCUAAAUGAGAAAAAAAAAAAAAAGAGAAAAAACUUUAAAAGUAAGGUAGAUGCGUCAACAACAAAGUUAUGUGAAUGGUAGCGUAUCAACAACAAAUUAAGGUAGUACUGUAACUCCAAGAAUUCCAAGGCUUUGUUUGAAUGGCCGUGCAAAACAGGUCAGGAUUAAGAUUCGAAGGAAGGGCCGAAAGUAUAUAGUAUAUUUAUCUUAGAAAAAGUAAACUAUAAUAAAAUUUUGAUUUUAAUCAAAAAAAAAAAUGUUGAUUUAUAAAAAAUAUAAAUAAAAAAAUAAAAAAUGGUUUGUUUACAUUCGUAGAUGUUUGAAUGAAUACGGAAUUUGUCAAUAAUUCUUUUUUGAUAGGCGCAGUUAAAGAGUUUGUGAGAAAGUUAUUAUUAUUUAUUUAAAUUUUUGAAAAUCGAUUUUGAUAGUAUUUAUAGUCGAAAAUAUUUUUUUUAUAUUUCAAAUGAAAAAAAUUAGUACAAGUUAGACCAAUCAGGAGAGAGAGGGAGGGUAACGUACUGCAUGCGCUCCGGGGUCAGCGCACAUGCAGUUGAUUUCGUGGCGGCCAAGUUUUGUGAGAAAAUAUUUCAAUUUGGCAAUUUCUAAAAACUAAAAUUUGUAGUUUUAUAAUUUACUGUGCCUAAUUAUUUAGGAACUCAUAUAUAAUUUUUUAAAUAGUAAGGGGGGUCAUGGCCAUUGGGAACCUCACAGUUGCUUCAUUUAAGUUUAAAUAUAUAAAUAUUUCAUUCUACAUUUUUUUUUUGAUGUGUUUAAAAAGUACAUAAAAUUUGAUAGAAGACAAGAGCGAUCAAAUUCAAAGAAUGAAUGUAAUAUUUUGCCUUAAGUUAUUUUUUUUGAAAUAAAGUAAAUCAUUUCGAAGAUAAAAUAUAUAAUUCUAUACAAUCAUGAAUACCCGCUGUAAUUGAACUUCUAAAUUCUAACCAUGUAAGAAAAUUUUUGUGCCGAAUAAGAUAUAGCGGAAUAUCUCCUUCUGAUAUCCCAACAUAGCCUAAUAAAAAAAAUUUGAAAAAUAAUUUAUUUUAUACAACCAUGUAGAUUGGGUGCACGAGAAUAUUUUCUUCCUCCACCUCUUUGAGAGAAAUAAAUACAUUUUUAUAUAAUUUAAUAUAUAAAAAUAUGGAAUAUAAUUUUAUAUGUAAAUUUUGUAUCUACUUUUCCAACCAAUAAAAACAAGCACGAAUGCUGAAGAAAGUUAAUUUUGUACAAUUUUAUGCGAAAACAAACAACCCCUCCUAAUAUCAACGUCAUGGUCAUCACCAAAAAUUCUUUUCUAAAUUUUUUGUGUGGAAACAGAUAGCUCCUGAAGUCAUGGAUUCUUUUUCUCAAUCAUGGAUGCAAAAUCCUACGGCUAGUAUGAUGGUCAUUGCCAAAAUUACUUUUUUGAAAAAUUUAUGUGGAAAUUAAACAAGAAGCUUCUGGGAUGGUGGAUUCCUUUCUCUCGUCGUGCAACAACAGCCGUGGAUGAGAAAUCCAGCGGCUGGUAUCAAAGGGCAUGGUCGCUAUAAAAAUCGUCCUUUCAAAAUUUUGUAUGAAAACAUAUAGCUCCUAAGAUUACGGAUUUUUUUUUUCUCGUUACGCAACAACAACCGUGGAUGAGAAAUCCAACGGCUGGUACGAAGGGCGAGAUCACGAGCAAAACUAUGUUUUCACAAAUUUAUACAGAAACGAACGGCUCCUGUAUCUGCAGAUUCCUUCCUCUCGUCAUGCCACAACAGCCGUGGAUGCGAAAUGCGACGGCUGGCAUCGAGGGCACAGUUAUAUAUACAUCACCAUCGCAUUUAUGCCACCGCGGGCCAAAAUAAAACUCGUCUCCUCAACCAUUUCUCUCUCUCUCUCUCUCUCUCUCUCUCUCUCGCGUGAAAAAGGAGAUUCAAAGGCGCGUUGUCGCGGUUCGAAAACUGAAAGGGGCGUACGCUCCACGUGGGAGGGAAAACGGCGACUUGCGUUCGCGGGGUUUGAAAAGGGUCGGACCACGUGGAGCAGAAGUCGGCGACGCCUUCGACCCCGACGCCGUCUUAAUUAAGACUUCUCCUCCUCCUCCUCCUCCUCCUCCUCCGACGAAUCCCCUCCUCCUCCUCCUCUGUUUUUUUUUUACAUUCCAGGUAAUAAUAAUUAUAAUAAUAAUAAUAAAUAUUUAAUCUCUUCGUAAUUACUCUCCCUUCGCCACCACCAUUAUCCGUCGAUUUCUGUUCCCAACCUCUUGUUUUCGCUCAUUUCAUGUAAGCCGUGGAUCAUCAUCUUGCUUUGUUUCUGUUUUUUUAUUUUAAUUNAAGAUAAAAUAUAUAAUUCUAUACAAUCAUGAAUACCAGCUGUAAUUGAACUUCUAAAUUCUAACCAUAUAAGAAAAUUUUUGUGCCGAAUAAGAUAUAGCGGAAUAUCUCCUUCUGAUGUCCCAACAUAGCCUAAUAAAAAAAAUUUGAAAAAUAAUUUAUUCUAUACAACCAUGUAGAUUGGGUGCACGAGAAUAUUUUCUUCCUCCACCUCUUUGAGAGAAAUAAAUACAUUUUUAUAUAAUUUAAUAUAUAAAAAUACGGAAUAUAAUUUUAUAUGUAAAAUUUGUAUCUACUUUUCCAACCAAUAAAAACAAGCACGAAUGCUAAAGAAAGUUAAUUUUGUACAGUUUUAUGCGAAAACAAACAACUCCUCCUAGUAUCAAUGUCAUGGUCAUCGCCAAAAAUUCUUUUCUAAAUUUUUUGUGUGGAAACAAACAGCUCCUGAAGUUAUGGAUUCUUUCUCUCAAUAAUGGAUUCGAAAUCCUACGGCUAGUAUCAUGGUCAUCGCCAACAUUACUUUUUUGAAAAUUUUAUGUGGAAAUUAAACAAGAAGCUUCUGGGAUGGUGGAUUCCUUUUCUCUCGUCGUGCAACAACAGCCGUGGAUGAGAAAUCCAGCGGCUGGUAUCAAAGGGCAUGGUCGCUACAAAAAUCGUUCUUUCAAAAUUUUGUAUGAAAACAUACAGUUCCUGAGAUUACGGAUUUUUUUUUUCUCGUUACACGACAACAACCGUGGAUGAGAAAUCCGACGGCUGGUAUGAAGGGCGAGAUCACGAGCAAAACUAUGUUUUCACAAAUUUAUACAGAAAUGAACGACUCCUGUGGUUGCGGAUUCCUUUCUCUCAUCAUGCCACAACAGCCGCGGAUGCGAAAUGCGACGGCUGGCAUCGAGGGCACAGUUAUAUAUACAUCACCAUCGCAUUUAUGCCGCCGCGGGCCAAAAUAAAACUCGUCUCCUCAACCAUUUCUCUCUCUCUCUCUCUCUCUCUCUCUCUCUCUCGCGUGAAAAAGGAGAUUCAAAGGCGCGUUGUCGCGGUUCGAAUACUGAAAGGGGCGUACGCUCCACGUGGGAGCAAAUCGGCGACUUGCGUUCGCGGGGUUUGAAAAGGGUCGGACCACGUGGAGUAGAAGUCGGCGACGCAUUCGACCCCGACGCCGUCUUAAUUAAGACUUCUCCUCCUCCUCCUCCUCCUCCGACGAAUCCCCUCCUCCUCCUCCUCUAUUUUUUUUUUAAAUUCCAGGUAAUAAUAAAUAUCGUAAUAAUAAUAAAUAUUUAAUCUCUUCGUAAUUACUCUCCCUUCGCCACCACCAUUAUCCGUCGAUUUCUGUUCCCAACCUCUUGUUUUCGCUCAUUUCAUGUAAGCCGUGGAUCAUCAUCUUGCUUUGUUUCUGUUUUUUUAUUUUAAUUCAUGAGCCAUUUGUUUGUUUACUUAUUUAUUUAUUAUGGAGAGGAACAUGCAAUCGUCACAGAUGAGAUUGAUGAGUGGGUGCACAAUAAAUAAAUGAGAUUAAGAAUCUGGCCUUCGUUUUUUUUUAAUCUUCUCUCUUUAUCAUCCAAUACAUACAAUAUUUUUAGUAUUAGAAAAUAAAUACCUAACAAACAGAAUCUAUUUGUCUCUGCUCUUUCUCUAUCUCUCUCUCUGAAACCACAUUAGUUUAUUACCUCUUCGCCGCAAACUACGCCGAAGCUCAAUAUUUUUCGGUUGUUAUUAUUUAUUUAUUUAUUUACUUAUUACGUGAAAGAGAUAGUAAGCUACUUACUUCGGCAUAAAUAAUACAUUAUAUAUAUUUUUAAAAAUAAAUUUAAUUAAAAAAUGUGAAAUAAUUAGUUUUUGAAUUUGGAGUUUCAGGUAUAAAUCAGCAAAUCUCGUUCGUCAACUAUGUUGGGUACGCUCUGUUGUUCUGUAAACAUUCUUAUUGAUUAUUAUUACUAUUAUAAUACCAUAUUACUUGUAAUCCACCACUUUCCAAUAGAAAAAGGUGCAAUUCCCCUUUUUUUUUUUUUUUUUUUAGUCUCAGAUAGUUUUGUUUUUGUUUUCUUUUCCUUUCUUUUCUUCGUAUCUGAUUUCAAGUUUACAAUAUUUUUUAUCUUUAUUGUCUCCUCUCUAUGUAACCAAAGCAUGGUUGUUGCACCGUAUUUUCAUCUAUAUUGUUGUUCUAAAUUCGUAGUUGCAAUGGUUACAAUCGAUUUUAAUACUAUUUCUCCUCUUCUCAUGGUAUUAGGAAGAGUUCUUCUUAGAAGGAAGAAAAGAAUUGGCCGUGAUGUUUGAACAAGAAAAAAUGGGGCAUCCUGUGGGUCCGUUUAAAUCAAUGUAUCCCAUCAUUUUAUUCUCCUCUGACCACAAUUUUAUUUUUCUUUUUUCUUUUUUCUUUUUUCUCUCUCUUUAUUAACAGGGUGUUUGGUUUUCCAAAAAAAUAUUUCAGAAAACUGUUCAGAUCGUAAAAGUAUUUUUUUUGGAGAAAAGUUUUUCUUAGAUUUUUUUUUUUUUAUAAAAAGUAGUAUUUUUAUUUUUAAUUUUAUUUCAAAAUAUAAAAAUUUAGAAAAAAAGUGUUUUUUUUUCUGGAAAAACAGUUUUUCAUCGUCCUUUUCCGAGGGAUCAAACACCCACUAAAUUAACAUCAUCGUGCUCAAGCACCAAAUGAAUGGUGGGCUUGUCGAAGAUGGUUGUUAGUUCACGCAUCGCUUCUGAUUGGUCCAUUAACGUGCCAAAAAGUUGCCAUUUUUUUACGUAGUUUUCCUAGGAGAAAGUGGACCAUUUUCUUGGUUUAAAAGUAGAGGCUUGGAUUAAUAUGAAGUUUCUACUGUAAUGAGAAGGUGGUUGGUGAGAUUUUAGUUAAAUAGUGUUAGUAAUUUUUUCGAAUUACCGUACUCGGAAAUGUGUUUUUAGCAAAUGCUCCUGUUCGACAAGUGUUCUUUUUCUAUUUUUUUUUUACUAUCAGAACAUUACUUUGAGUAACUCGGUAAGACAAGCAUUAUUUUGAGUCACUUGUUAAGUACUUCAUCUCUUUAAUUCUCUGCGUCAAUAUUAUUUAAUUCUGCAUGUUUGGGCUUGUUCUAUUGCUACAAACACACCAUUUGGGUAGUGGUAUUUCACUUUGAUUUCUUCUUCCAGAGCCAUCUCUUCCCAUUAGAGACAUGGAAUCAGAUCAGAAAAGAGUGCCUGAACCUUCUAUUUCAAAUGCUAAUAGACAGGGCAAUGACCUUUCUGCCUCGAGACCGCUCUGGAGUCCGAGUCACUUUGCUGCAGAAAGUGUUCCGUAUGUAAGACAGGAUUCGGUCAGUAGGAUAAGUAAGAGCGGUUCUUCGCAACGGAAUUCUGCAAGUCUUUCACGCGAGACGGGUGAUCAGACACUAAGCAAGAUCAGGCUUUCGCACGAAUUGGCCGACGAGAUUCUUGAAGACGUUGAUAGUUCGGUUAUGGCGCAAGUCGGCGACAGCGGAGUUCGUGUAGUUGAAGGGGAGAGCAUAAGAGAGGCCAGUCGCCGCUCUUAUUCGAGAGCACUUAGUCGGAUGAAUUCCAUAGUGGAAAGUGGUAGGUACGCAAGGCAGGAUUCGGUCAGUAGAAUAAGUAAGAGCAGCUCUUUGCAGAAAAGUUUGUCGUGUGGCAGUGAUCAAUUGCUGAAUUCGAUCAGGCUUUCGCACGAGUUGGCAGACCAGCUGCUCGGGGACAUUGAUAGUUCUGUUAUGGCACAAGUUGGCGACCGAGGAGAUCGAAUAGUCGAAGACGAGGAGAUUAAUGAAAAUGGGAGCCUGGAUCUGGAUUAUGCAAAGAGAUCGGAGGACAAAGCUGGCCCCCUCCCAGAUGAUGCUCUGAUAAUAUUGAACGGCACGCGGUCCCGUGAUAGUUACCGUUUGUCGCCUGUGUCUCCGUUGGUAGAAGAUAUUGUAUCUCCUAUCCCAACUGCUCUUCCCUUGGGUGCAAUGAAGGACCAUACACAACUUCUACAAAGUGCAUCCAUCAAGGUCCGCCGUGUUAUGGCUUUUUUAUUUUUUUCAUUUUGCUAUACUGAUGUCGCUUAGGGCCUGUGUCCGGGCUGGAACUUCUGAGAAAUAUUGUUUACCUGCGUUGAACUUCAAAUACCUUUCCACUGUAGCAGAGGCAGAAAAUUCAAACUGGAUCUUCUGCUCAUUUCAACUUCGUGCGAGUGCAAAAGUUUCAGACAUUUUACUCGCCGAACAUUCGGCAGUUGUUUUUCCAAUAAAGGAGUUGUUGAACUCUUAGUACUUCAGUUACUUAAAAGAGCCAAUAAUUACAUGCCUAGCCGGUGUUGUGUCCAAUAUUUGUCAGUGUUCGUGAAAAAAAAAAGAAAAUGUUCUCGAGAAGUACGGAGUCACAAAGUUCUGCCGAAUGUGAGGGAGAGCGAUAUAUGACCCGAAUUGAAACUCCUGCCUUUUACUAAUUGUCGUAAACACAUUUGCUUGCAGGAUAAACCUUACAAGCCACCACGACGAUUGGACUAUUUUGCCUACAUUGUUCACUUGUCCGUCUUUGGAUUUCUCGGGGUAAAAAACCCAAACUUCCUUGUGGACUGUUGGCGGUUGUGCUGUAUCAUUGUUUGAAAAUAAACUAUGGAUAAGUAAACGAGCAUAUCGUAUUAUUUAUGCAUGUCAAUUUACUAGACUUUUUUUUUUUUUCUUUCAAUGUUGUUGUUGGUGGUUCCCUUUCUCUCAUUUGCAACCAGGUACUUACGAGGUACGUACUGCGAAAGUUCUUUGGUCCGAACAUUCUCGCUCUCACAUCUGACGACUCUCCAUUGUACCUUGAUCUUCCAUCCAAUAUAGUAUGUCUCACUCCAUACCUCUUUUAUUUCCGAUAAUUAACAUUCUCAAAACUUUUAACUUGACUAAACUAUUUUAUGCACUCUGUUCAGCUCGGUUCGUUCCUAAUGGGAUGGUUUGGGAUUGUAUUCAAGGCAGAUAUACGCCAAAUAUCUGAUCAUGUCGUAGUUGGAUUGACAACUGGUUACUUGGGAAGCCUCACCACCUUCAGUGGGUGGAAUCAGGAAAUGCUUGAUUUGGCCUCCAAGGGCCACUGGGUUUACGCGGUGGCUGGAAUAGUAUUAGGUAAUUAAGCAUCCCUGUCAAGCAUAGUUAGCGUAAGUAAUAAUUUACGUAUAUAUAUCCUCAAAUUUCAUAUUUAUUCACAUAAAUCCAUGCAAAAUCUGCAUUCUCAUAUGUAAGUUUGUGAAUAUGUACUAUCAUAUAGUUCUGCGACAAACAUAUUUUCUUACGUAUAUACCCCUUGUACCUAUCAAAAUGCCCACCCUCUUUAGAAACUCCUUUGCAAAUCACAUUUUCCUUAUGAAUUGGAUCACUACCAGCUUUAACUAAUCAGGGUAUUUUUGUAAGACACUCGGUUUUGAGGUUUAUAUGUUGUGUUUUUGUGCGUGCAAGAUUCCCAUAAUUUUUUGUAGCCUAGAUCUCUGAAAGUGUUGCUUCUCUUAUCUGCGAAGUAAGAAGCCUCACAUCCAUUUCAUCUCUUCUUUUCUUCUUUGAAAGAAGCCUUACAUGCCUUAUUUCAUUUUCUAGGGAUGUUUAUUGUCAAUGAAUCCAUAAAUAUAGGGGUCGAAUCAGGCGAGGGACUUCGAAAAUUGUUUCUAAAAUAUUUUGAUGAGGAUUCAGGAGGCAGAAAAUUUUUGAAACAUCUGAGAGUGGACACUGGCGCUAAGCAUGCAGUUGUGAUGACAAUGAUGGUCUUGAUAUUGCUCGCACUGUGGUUUCUAAGUGGAGCAUUGGCCAUAAAAACGGUGCAUGACCUCAAAAGCGGCGCUGUUCUCUGGUUGGGUUGCGUGGUUGCCCCACCAGGCGUGUGGGGCCGUUGGCACUUGGCCAGGCUUAACGGCGAGGGGAUCGGAAAGAGACAACUUCUCAAAUGGCUUCCAAUCGGGACUUUGGCGGCCAACGUUCUUGCAGCUUGUAUUAUGGCAGCACUUUCGACUAUAAGCAAUGCGGUAAUAAGAAACGUUGGGUAAAGCGAGUUUACUGUCAUUUUUUGCAUUUCUGGGAUAACGCAUUUUUCGGCAUUUUGAUCUAUUUUUUGUGAAAAAUGAAAACUCACUAGAUGCACUCCAACUUCCAGUAUGAUUUUGUUGGUAUUUUCUCGUAACUUCUAGUAGGUUAUUAUACUAUCGAACAGUGAGUCAUAUAUCGUGAUACUUCAAUCAUUCAGAUUAGCUUGCUUUGUCCACUCCUUGUGGUGUUAUUCGCCAGCCAUUGAAAAUAAAGUAACAAUGAAUUGCUUCAACUGUCGAUGAGUCGGUACAAAAAAUGUGAUCAAAGAACUAUCUUUAAGACCCUUUUUUUAAAGGACUCAGGAACUUUCUUGUUUUCGACAUUUAAACAUGAGAAGACACUAUAUUUAUAUCCCAUUCAAUUAUCCAAAAGCGACUAGUGUUAUAUUGCAGGUAAAUACAAAGAAAUGCAGAACCGUUACGAGCGGAAUCGAGUUUGGAUUUCUCGGCUGCCUGAGCACUGUUUCUACCUUCGUUGCGGAAGUGUAUGCAAUGAGGCAGAGUAGACAUAGUGGGAGAGCCUUUAUUUAUGCAACAGCGACCAUCCUUCUCUCAUUCGCAAUGGGAACUUUGAUAUAUUCUGUACCAGUAUGGACGAAACACUACAAAUAGCUUAUGCAAUCUCUUGCUAUGCGGGGCACAUGCAGGUAUUUUUGUUUUCGCGGGGCUUUUACAUAUACAUAUUCCUACAUAAUCUAUAUUCAUGUACCUCUGGAAGGUGCAUUGUUCACAAGAAUACUCUCUCGUCUUACUUUUGAGAAUUGUUCAUCCAAUUCAUGGGAAUUUGAUUUGAUCUGGAGAGAGCUUUCCUCUUACUAAGUAUAUUAGUUGCCGAUUUUUACUUGCGCGCACUAAGAAGACACAGAACUACCCCGAAACCUAAUAAGGAAGGUUUUGGUUUCCACUUUUUACGUUCCUUGCAUAUUUUAUUGUAUCUCACCUACCUACUACAUACUUAGAAUGGCAAACUUACUCCUCGAGUGGAAUUGUUCGUGCCUAAUACUAGUUAAUAGCUGAAUCAGAUGCAUCCACUUGAGUUACAUGAUUUUGUUUACUUCGCAAUGUAUUCUUUUGCGUGCAUUAACAGAUUCAUGCCAAUUAUGCUGAUCGACAAAACUUAACCAUUCAAUGUGCAUGUACAUUCUCACCCCUGCAACCUUGGUGGACCUACGAAAUUGCGUAUUCUUGCUUAUGAUUAAAUCACAUAUAAAAGACGAAACAACAUAGUUGUUUUUUUGUUUUUUUCACCCUUCUUUCCCCUUCUAUGUUUUAAAAAAUUCGGUCGGGAUCUUGCUUAUUGAUGUUCUAAAAUAGCUUGUUGUUUCUUAGUGUUCCAGGGCAGGCGCACGAUGAUGCACCGUCACGACGAAGCUGAAUCACCGUUGAUUUACUUCGUACCUGAACUGCUGAUUCGUCUCACUGCUUUUUUUUGAGAGAAUGAUUCGUCUCACUGCUUUGAGUGUAAUUCCAUGGGCAAAAGAUGGUUUUUUCGGUGUCAGCUUUGCAGAGAAGCCAAACAUGUUUCUGGUUUUAAUUUACUGAGUUGGAUUUCGGGUAAACAAAUUUUGUCAUGCCGAAACCAGAGUCUAAUGCUGAACUUAAUGACCGUCGGGUUUGUUGUUUAUGAUCCAAACCCAUAAAUCUGGGUUGGAUUUGAAUAAGCAGGGUGGAUUAGUUGGGUCACACCCUCGACAACGGUUUGCUUAGUAAAUACUUUGCUGUUUCUGUCAUUAGUGUAAUUACUUAGUAUUUACUUCCCAGUGGCGAGGGGGGAUUUAGCUUUACUAAGUUUUGAUGUUUGCUCCGUUGCGUUGUAUCUAAGAUGUGCGCAGAAAAACAAUAUAUUUGGAACUAAAAAAUAAAGAUCUGUUUAAUCAGGGAAGUAUUUAAUGCCUGUUUCAGUGAUAAAUGGCGAAAAUUUGCAAAACAGAAGAAUUUACAUUUUAGCUGAUCCAAUCAAUCUAUUCUGUGUUAUUUUAUUCUACACACAUUUUCGCCGUCCCUUCAUCCUAUAAGUAUUAAAAUUUUUUGUCCAUUUUAUAAAAAUAAACUCAACUAGAUUAUAAAUUUUAAAUUUUGGAUACCAACUAUUAAGCUCUUUAGCUUACUGCGCUAAGCGUGCAGCAUUAAAUAAAACUUGGAAACCAUUAAAAUGCAGUCUAAGUUUUAGUUGGACCACAAUAGGCUCUUUUGGGCAGAACACGGAAAAGUAAAACGGAGCAAAGCCUACUGUGGAACUUCUGCGGUGGGUGGAGAAUCUAAAAUAGUAACCUUGGGUGUCCUCGCAACUUUAAAACACUUUACUUUGUUUUAUAGCAAAAAAUUUGUUUUCUUUAAUAUUUUUUUUUUCAAGUUGCAGGUUUAAGUACGGAAUUAGGACUUAGAAUAGUUACUAGGUACAUACAUUUGACCCAUUUUAUAAUGAGAAAGCGAAAUGGCUACUAUUGUGUGGAAAAAAAACGGGUAAAAAAAAGAGAGCCAAAACUCACCGAUCGGGUGCGAUCCGCUCUAAGCUUUCAAACCUGGCCCAGCCCGGCCCUGGAACUUUGCCCUGUCCCAUUUCAAACGUCAACGCCAAGAUUCGUGCAAACUCUGAUCAACGGGUCGGAUAUAUAUAUAUAUAUAUUUUUAACUUUAGACUUAACCAUCGGUGUAUCUAACCGCGGUUAGCUUUUCCCGCAAGCACCGUUUGCUCUUCCCGUCUCCGUUUUCCCGAUUUCGAUUCGGGCGUUCCUCUUAAUAAAUCACUGAACUCGCCCCAAUUUCCGAAGUAACUCUCCCCACCUUCUUCUUGAAACGACCUAACUCGCGUUCUCUUUUUCUCCUCCACGGCGACGCAAAACCCUAAUAACCCUAGCCCUCACCCAGCGCUAAAUCCUCACUCGCCACUGGGGAGGAGAGGGGGAUUUGGCUCGAAGGAGCUUCCUCAAACCCUAGCCAUGGCGGCCCAGCCGGUGGUGAACGACCUCUACGAGACGGCGUCUCAGCCCGAUGGGAGCGGCGACGCCUACACCUUCCUCGAAUUCAACACGCAGGGGGACGACUACGACUACCCCGAGUUCCGCGAGCUCUCGCAGCCGACGCGGGCCUCGGCGUGGCCCCCUCCUCCGCCCCCGGCGUCGGAGUCGGUCCCGGACUCGCCCUCCGCCGAUCUGCAGCCCCCCGAGGCCGGGGUCGCCGCGUCGCCCUCCGCCGUGGGGUCUGCGUCGUCUGCGAAGGGGCGGGGAGGUGCCGGCAACCAGGCGGCCUCCGUCGAUGCCCUAGCGGCCGGGAUGAGCGGGCUCAGCUUCGAAGAGACGGGAGAGGACGACAAUUACGAGUUCGGGAAGGGAGGUUUCACUGAGCACGCGUGCCGGUAUUGUGGGGUGCAGAAUCCGGCGUGCGUCGUGAGGUGCAAUAUCCCGUCGUGUCGGAAGUGGUUCUGCAACUCGAGAGGAAACACCUCGGGAUCACAUAUUGUCAAUCAUCUUGUGAGUAGCACGCAAGAGAAAUUCUUUGUUUCCUGUAGUCUUGCGCCCUCAUGAACUACCCUGGCUUUUAUUCUUGUUGAGAUGAAUGCUCAGUAGGGUUGAUAUUCUCGUUUUCAUCCAUCUCCUUAAACUCUGUUUAGUACGAUUAGAUAUUGAAUAUUGUUGAAUAGAUACUUCUUUAGGAAGAGUGGUCCUUUUGCGCGGGAUCUUGAUGGUUUCGGAUAAAACAUUCUUCGGAAAAUUACAUAUUUUGAUUGUGUUGUCGUUAUUCGUUAUUCGGGGAUGUUCUUGAGUUCUUGGAUAUAGUUGUUGAUAUUGCAAAUCAAAAUAUAAAUGCAUGAGUAAUUGCUUUAAAAUGUGAACCUAGGCAUAUCUGCAGAGGUUUCAGGGCCUUGCUUAAGAAAAUAUCGUAUCUUGAUCUAGACGAUUUAGGAAUGAACCAGGUCCAGUAAUAACCUCGCGGAGGUUUUACCUUAUCUGACGAUGAAAAUAAGAGCCGGGGAUUAUUAUUUUUCUUAUUUGCUUGGAAACACAAUAAUAAGUUCUUGUUGUCAUUCGUUGCUUGAGAAGCAACAUUUGAUUUCAUUUCUAUUUAUAUCUGGACAAAGGAUUUUGAUUUAAUGUGAGCAUUUAUUCUUGCACAUGCCUAUAAUUGCUAAAUAUGGUUCCAAAACAAUAUCGUGCAUUCAUUUGUUCACUAUGGUUUAUUUCAACUGUCCUCAAUCCAACUGUGUCUGCGUACUAUUUUUUUUUCUCUAUUUGUUUGGAAUAUUUGUCAUCUUACCAAUGGCUAGUGUCUGAGGUGAAACAAACAUUAUGAGGCUUAGACGUAAUUUAGAAAUUUUUCUAUGCUUUCCGUAUGAAGUUCCUGUAACAGCAUCUCUCAUAGGAGGCAUAUUCCAUGUUGACCUAUGUAUGUCCUUGUUGGCAUGAUAUUUGUUGUCUGUCCAAUACUUUUCGUUAGCUUCUGUUAGAAUCUUCUGCAGGCUGAGAUGGCGUUUCCGUUUCCUUUCUAUGUUGAUAGUGCAUGCCUCUGGAAUUUUUAAUCUUUAAGGGACCUUUUCCAACCAGUGACAUUUUACAUCAUAGAAUUUGAGAACUGAGACGGCGGUUCCGUUUCCUUUCUAUUUUGAUAGUGCAUGCCUCUGGAAUUUUUAAUUCUUAAGGCAUUUGUUGCAACUGAUGACAUUUUACAUCAUAGGAUUUGAGAACUGAGUAACCUAUAAUUUGUUUUUAUUAUACAAAGUAUGAUCCAUUGGAGGUCAAGAAACUUAACAAUUCAAACCCUUUUUUUCUUUUUUCUUUUUCUUUUUUUUCAUACCAAAGCCGCUUAAAGUAAGAGCUGUUGUCAUGAUGCAAUUAAUUUUCUAAGAUGUUCAUUAUCCUUCAAGCAUCCAUCAAACUGUUUUUCACUGGUCACCCCAGGUUAGAGCGAAACAUAAGGAGGUUUGCCUACACAAAGACAGUCCAUUAGGAGAAACAAUCCUUGAGUGCUACAAUUGUGGCUGUCGCAAUGUCUUCCUUCUUGGAUUCAUCUCGGCGAAAACAGAGAGUGUCGUUGUUCUCCUCUGCCGAGAACCAUGCCUGAGUGUGAACGCAUUGAAGGACAUGAACUGGGAUCUCAGCCAAUGGUGUCCACUCAUUGAUGAUAGGUGCUUCCUGCAAUGGCUCGUCAAGGUAGUUUAUUUGAUAUAUUUGUUUUGUUCGUCUUUAGUUCGUAAAUUCUCAAAAUGAAAUCCGCCACCCCCCCUUAGGUCCCUUCAGAACAGGAACAGCUGAGAGCUCGGCAAAUUAGUGCUCAACAAAUUAACAAAUUGGAAGAGCUUUGGAAGACAAACCCUGAUGCGUCUCUUGAAGACCUUGAAAAGCCCGGAGUGGAUGAUGAGCCUCAGCCAGUAGUUCUGAAAUAUGAGGAUGCUUAUCAGGUUUUAAACUUCCCGUGGCUAGUUGUUAUUAUUAUUAUUUUCCAGAAGUCUCCAUAAACCUGUGUUACUUUAGCUGGUUUAUCUUUAAAUUUUUAGGAAUUUGGUAGUCUCUUUCCGAUGAAGAUAACUGGUUAAUUUUUUCUUUUGGCAGUAUCAAAAUGUUUUCGCACCACUCAUAAAACUUGAAGCUGAUUAUGAUAAGGUAUCUUCUCUCUAUUUUCCUUUUUCUUCUUCUUUCUUGAACUUUUCACUGGGCAUUCACGGCCACUUAUCAGCUCAAACUCACAAUUUGCAGAUGAUGAAAGAGUCACAAAGCAAGGAUAAUGUUACAAUACGUUGGGAUAUUGGUCUUAACAAGAAGCGCGUAGCAUAUUUUAUCUUUCCAAAGGUUGUGCUUUUAAAUAGGAGUAUCCAAAAAAUGACCUUACUUAGUGUUCUUUUUUUUUCAUCUUUGUUCAUUUCUGUGCAACUAAUAUCUAUAUGGAUGUGUGGUGUUAUAGGAAGACAACGAACUGAGGCUUGUUCCUGGAGAUGAGCUGCGGUUGCGAUAUUCUGGCGAUGCUUCUCAUCCUGCAUGGCAAUCUGUGGGGCAUGUGGUAUGGUUGUUCUUUUUAUUUUUCAUUGUUUACAAGUCUUUUCGGGAAGGUCAUGUGCUCAUAUGUUACGUUCGUAUAAAUGCAAGUAGUUUGUUAAUUUUAAAAUACACUUCAUUUUGUCAUAUUAUUUGUUUCUUGGACAUAACAAAUAUAUAUUUUUCCCUUCAGAUUAAGCUUACUGCUCAAGAGGAGGUUGCACUUGAGCUUCGCGCUAGUCAGGUAUUACUUUGGAUAUGCACUUUAGUUCUUGGCAGCACUCAUCGCUUUACUUGUAGUUCUUGGCAGCACUCAUCGCUUUACUUGUAGGGUAGCAUGUGCACGUUUUAAUUAUAUUUUCAUUUUCAGGGAGUUCCAGUUGAUGUAACCCAUGGCUUUAGUGUAGAUUUUGUUUGGAAGAGUACUAGUUUUGACAGGAUGCAAGGGGCGAUGAAAACUUUUGCUGUGGAUGAAACAAGUGUCAGUGGGUGAGUUUCAUUUCUCAUGUUUUUCUGUAGUUUCAUUUCAGAAUGCAAAUUCAGAAUUUUCCAAACAGGCAAUCGGCCGGCUAUGUUGACAGCUGUUUUAUGCUGUGUUGUCUACUCAAUUUUUCCUGGCUUAUGAGAGGGGCUUCAUAUUUUGGACUUGCUGACUGUGUUGUAUUUGACUAUCAUUUAUGAACAAUGAUAUGUUGCUAUGCCAGUGGGAGAAUUAUUAACAUGGCCUAACAUUAUCUGACAAUAUUAUGUGAUUGUUGGAGAAAGGUGCAAUAAAAGGAAAUAUAUUGGCAGCAGGUGGUGAUAAAUUUAAAAGAAGUAAUAACAUACUCACGAGAAAGAAUAUUUUAGCAAUGAGAGAAUUCAUGAACAAUAAUUUCGUGAAAAAGCUAUGAAUAGCGAUUGACUUAGUAGUGUCGCCACAUGCAAUGAGAGUCGGUACUCUGUCAUGAAUUUGGGAAAAGGGUGAUCAGCAGGCAGUGGUAAUCCUCUCCUCUCUCAAAGCUAAGAACAAAAAGGUCCAAAAAAUUUGGCGAGGAUGAUGUACCCUCAGUCGUGGUUAAUGGAAGGGUUUUCUGAUGUUUGUUUUCCUUAAAAGGAGUGCUGAAAAAGCCUCAAAACUUGGUGGUAAGUCUUGUAAGUCCCAGCACUUUGGAAGAGAUUUUGUAAAUAGAAGAAGAGAAAAUCUAAUACCUUUUGGAAUUAUCAAUUGGUUUUUGACAUUUCUGGGCCUCACGUCCUAUGUGCAUCAGAUGCAAAUCAGACUUUGAAUGGGAGUAAAAAGAGUCUCUCUCUGACUUAGUGGUCCUCUUGUUUGGUGUUUACAAUUGGUUAAUUUCUUUGGAACCACAUUGGCUUGUCCACUUGUUGUUGGGAGACAAUUGAAUUUUUCCAAAAUAGUUGGUUGGAUUAUUUAUACCGACUGCAUAACUGGUUAUCUGGGCUGUUUUCCUCUUUCCAGAUACAUAUACCAUCAUCUUUUGGGCCAUGAAGUUGAACUUCAAGUGGUUCGUAAUACAUUACCUCGCCGCUUUGGUGCCCCUGGCCUUCCUGAACUAAAUGCCUCACAGGUAUAAUUGUUCAUCUGAACCCUUUUCUUGAAUACCCUAUACAAAAUCUUCCAUUAGUUAACUUUUUCUGAGAAAUGAAAUUUCUGGGUGAACCGUCAUACUUUGCUUAAUCUAAUGAUAGUGCUUCAUACAGCUUAACUCAAAGAACUGUCUGGGACAAGCUUCAGCUUGGCUAUAUAAGCCCUUAGCCUUUAUCCAAGUCUAAGUUAGGUUUUGUUUUGUUUUCGGUGGGCAGGUUUUUGCCGUUAAGAGUGUUCUUCAAAAGCCGAUUAGUUUAAUACAAGGUCCUCCUGGCACAGGGAAAACUGUCACAUCGGCUGCAAUCGUAUACCACAUGGCUAAACAAGGUCAAGGGCAGGUAAAGGUUUUGGUCAUAUAAUGUCGACAACCUUAGACAAAGCUAUUUUCCAUAUAUCAAGGUUCUUUUUUUCGAAUUAUAGGUCCUGGUAUGUGCUCCUAGUAAUGUUGCCGUGGACCAGCUGUCUGAGAAGAUAAGCUCAACUGGGUUAAAGGUAAAAAUUGAAGUAUUUUUUUUCUUACUUUUUGAUGGCUUCUUUUCACUUCUUCCUGUUAUUUUUUUCUUGGGCACGUUGACUGCAUUAUCUGCUAGACUUUCUACUUGAAAUCGGAUGUUUUUAAGGGCCCGUAAGAUGUUUUUUUUUUUAAUUAUGCUGUCGGCUUUUGAAAAUCGAGAUUUAUAUUCUAUUAUUUUCUUUUCCUUCUUUUUCAUUUGCUUUAGUGACUAGAGAUGCUUUAUCAGAUUCCGAUUUAAAUUUCUUAAUUAUACAGGUUGUUAGGCUCUGUGCUAAAUCAAGGGAGGCUGUCAUGUCUCCUGUUGAGCAUCUUACUCUUCACUACCAGGUAAAUAUAUGGUUUUACCCCCUUUGGUAACUUUCACCUAUGUUCAGCAGGUGGUUAGUCUUUGUGUAUUUCUCUUGCAGGUCCGACAUCUUGAUACAUCUGAAAAGAGUGAACUACAUAAACUACAGCAACUAAAAGAUGAACAAGGUUUAUCUUAGUUUUUCUUUAUGAUUUUCUUUGUUUCAUUUUGUUGACUGGUCUGCGAACUAUCUUAAAGUGAGUAGAACUACACCAUUAGUAUGAGACAUGAGUAAAUACGACAGUACAGUUUGUGGACAUAAUCUCCUUCUCUUCAACACAGUAGUAUCUUCUGGGCGGAUAGCAAUUUAGGCAGUUUUGCGUUGUUUGGAUUUAAGAAGUCUACAUCAUCUAACUUUCUAUGUUUGCAUAAAAACUUAAAACACAUUUUCUGCUUAUUUACAGUUUGGCCCAUGUGAAGAUGUUGCAAGUCUUAUGAUCAUCCCUUUCAUGAGUAAAUAACUGCUAUAUUUUUUAGGUGAACUGUCAAGCAGCGAUGAAAAGAAGUUCAAAGCACUAAAACGGGCCACUGAGAGGGAGAUAUUACAAAGUGCUGAUGUAAUUUGUUGCACCUGUGUUGGUGCUGGGGAUCCUCGAUUGGCAAACUUUCGGUUCCGCCAGGUAAUGGAUGUGUAAGCUCUUUGUGCAUUUGGAGUUUGCAGAUAUGCAUAUUGAAACUGAUGCCUGCUAUCUGAAGGUUCUUAUUGACGAGUCUACUCAGGCAACGGAGCCCGAGUGUCUUAUCCCUUUGGUUCUUGGGGUCAAACAGGUUAUUACCGAUCUAAAUUUGGUCAGUGGUGUUUACUUCCGUGUUCCCAUGGUUUCCAAUCUAAUUUUUAAUUCUGUGUCAGGUUGUUCUUGUUGGUGAUCACUGUCAGCUGGGCCCUGUCAUUAUGUGUAAAAAAGCAGCUCGUGCUGGGUUAGCUCAGUCUCUUUUUGAGCGCCUUGUGCUACUUGGACUUAAACCAUUCAGGCUGCAGGUGAUGGCUGUUCUUCACAUUCUAGUUUCUUAAUUUAGGAUAAUUAAUUUUCUUGUGAUACUAAUAGAGUUGCUAGCCAUGUUAAUUGUAUAGACUUUUUGGUUGUCUUUUUAAUUGUUUCAAUGCCACAAUUGAGAUCGAUAAAGUUUUGACAUUUAGUAGGAAAGACUAGAAUUAUGGCUAUAUAGCUAAAAAGAAUAAGAUCAGCUUUGUCAUUGGUUGUAUAUCUAUUAUCUCUGGACUCUGUUAUUUUUUUAAAUGUAAAAACCUGAUAAGAAAUUGCUUAAGACGUCAUUUGAGCUUCAUCAGUGCUCUUGGAUGUUCAAACUGCACUGCACAUGUUCACUUACAAAUACACAUGUUCAUUUACAAAAGUUUUAAGCUUCCAGAAAGUUGUUUGCCAUCAAUACAUUCCUAACAUUUAUUUCAUGCUAUAUAGGUGGAAUUAUUUAUGCUUGAAAUGCAUCUACUUCUGUUUUCCAAUCUUACUUCUGUUUUCCAAUCUACUGGAAUUGCUCGUUGAUGUUCCUGUGCUGUGCAGGAUUUUGUUUAACACGUGUAUUCUAAAUUACAGGUCCAAUAUCGAAUGCAUCCCUCCCUGUCAGAGUUUCCUUCUAAUAGUUUCUAUGAGGGUACUCUGCAGAAUGGAGUGACAGUUAAUGAGAGGCAAACAACUGGAAUUGAUUUUCCUUGGCCUGUUCCAAAUCGACCAAUGUUCUUUUAUGUCCAGGUAGCAAAACGUUCUCUUAAUGAUUAUUUUUCUUAUGUCUAGUCUAGUAGUUGAAGUAUAUCUUGUUGGUUUGAGGUGUAUUCUAUUCUGUAGAUGGGACAAGAGGAGAUAAGUGCAAGUGGAACCUCUUAUUUAAACAGAACUGAGGCUGCAAAUGUUGAGAAGAUAGUAACAACGUUUUUGAGAAGUGGUGUUAUUCCUAGUCAGGUACAUCUUAUCUCUAUGGUUUUUAGACAUUCAAAUACUUGGGUAUUCUUUUAGUGUUGCUCGAGUCUAUUGCCGGACUCAUGAAUUAUGCAGAUUGGAGUUAUCACACCUUACGAAGGACAGAGAGCAUAUAUAGUGAACUAUAUGUCAAGGAAUGGUUCACUUAGGCAACAGCUUUACAAGGAAAUUGAGGUUGACAUCUGAUCUUUUCUGCAUUAUUUGCCAUCACCUUUUGGGCUUUACUUCAAUUUCUCUCCCUGUAGGUUGCAAGUGUUGAUUCAUUCCAGGGUAGGGAGAAGGAUUACAUAAUUUUGUCUUGUGUUAGGAGUAAUGAACACCAGGUUUGUCAAUUUUCAAUAAUCCCUGGCAACAUUGUGUCUUCUACCAGGAUUUUAUUAUCAUUUACAAAUAUAUCUGUGCUUAAUUCGGAUUUAUUAGAAAACUGCCGUUAUCAUUACAACCGUUACUUAUUUUUUCAGUCACAAGUUAGCUGUAAUAUGAAAUUAUGAUGGAUAUCUGUUUGUUAGUGAUCUCUUGGUUAUAUUUUCUUUUUUCUCCAGAUUGGUUCUUUUUCUCUAGUUUUGCUAACAUUACUUUAUAUGCAAUGUCAUUAUGGCUUUUAACACUAGACCUUACUUUCUAUAUUACAGGGUAUUGGGUUUCUUAAUGACCCACGUAGGUUGAAUGUUGCACUAACAAGAGCUCGGUAUGGGAUUGUCAUCUUAGGUAAUCCUAAAGUUCUUAGCAAACAGCCUCUUUGGAAUAGCUUGUUGACGCAUUACAAGGUACCAUUCACUCUCAAGUACUUCGUUUUGUUGAUUUUAGGUGUUUAUCCAAGUUUGGUACAUGCUAUAUAUUCUAUUGCUUUUAUUCUUGUAAAAAAAUUCAUCAUGCAUUUUGACAAUGUACUUCAUGGUUGCAUGACUUGUGACUGAACUGGCACUUGUGAGUUGUGAGUUGUGAGUUUUGACUGACUUUGUUGGACUCUAAACAGCUCCUAUUGAACUGACCUGCCUCUAACACUAUCCAUUUAUCCAAGUGAUUAUAAAAUAUGGUAGAUCCAAAGUGUUUUAGUUAUGGUCUGUUGACUUAAUGCAUACAUUGAUAUUUGAAACAAUAAGCUAUGUAGCGGAGAAAAUGGGAUAUCAAGAAAAUUUAUCAUUUUUAUGAGCAAUUUGGAGUCUUUGACACGGCUUGCUGGGAUAGCGUAUGUCACUGAUUGAUUUAUGUGUAGGAGCAUGAAUGCCUUGUUGAAGGACCGCUAAACAACUUGAAGCAGAGUAUGGUGCAGUUUCAAAAGCCUAAAAAGGUUUGUUAUUUAAAAAGAAUUGAGUUUGUUACUUAAAAAGAAUGAGUUCUUUAGUCUCUGGUACGGCAUUAUUUUGUUGAUCUAACUUUUAUUGAUGCCUCCAAUUGCUGUUGGUUUUCGGUGAACAGAUUUACUAUAAUAGUAGGCUGUACCUGGGAGGUGGUCAAGGGCUCGCUAAUACAGAGAACUUUGGGGCUGUUGGCUCUUCAGGCCUGAAUGCUGAUAAGAGAGGUGGACGGGGCAAAGGUAUCCACAUCUUAGGUGUACUUAGUAUCUUCAAUCCUUUUUAUUGGCCUUCACGUUUCAAUAAAAACCAAUCUGCUUUUACUUUUUGUACAAAACAGGUCAUUCUUAUGUGCCAUUUGGUCCACCGAAUGGUACUCAUAAGCCCGGUAUGCACCCAUCAGGGUAUCCCCUACCUCGAGUUCCACUUCCUCCAUUUCCUGGAGCUCCUCAUCCUCAACCCUAUGCAAUACCAACUCGUGGAGCUGUGCAUGGGCCCAUUGGAGGGGUACCGCAGGUCCCUCAACCUGGCAAUAGAGGUUUUGGGGCUGGUCGUGGUAGUANNNNNNNNNNNNNNNNNNNNNNNNNNNNNNNNNNNNNNNNNNNNNNNNNNNNNNNNNNNNNNNNNNNNNNNNNNNNNNNNNNNNNNNNNNNNNNNNNNNNAAAGAGAAGAGAUAUUACGAUAAGGAUUGAUAGACAUAAAUUUACCGCUUGUACUCGACAUCUAACUACGCGUGAGCUUGUUUAAACUGGCGGCAUCCCAUCGCGGGCCCAUGGCCGCAGAACCCGGCCCGCAAGCACAAAAUCCGUGCGACCGUGUCCGUCCGAGCCUGUACGGUGAGGAUCACCUUCACUCCCAUCCAUUGUAUGACAACGACCUCGCGUUCUUUUUAGCAUCUUAUCUACAAUAAUAUUACAUAAAAACUAUUUAAAAUAAUCUUAAUUUAAUAAUAAGUAAAUCCACCUAAAAAUUUUACAUCAAAUUUUGUAAUUAGUAACCCAGAUAUACGAAAAAAUAUAAAGAAUUAUAUCUAUCUAUCAAUUAAAAUCUCCAAAUAGUACAUGGUGUGGUUUGAUCCAAAAGUUUUUUUUUUUUAAAAAAAAAAGAUGCUAAAAUUGGGCAACUUCAAAAUUGCGCAUAAUUUGGUUCUAAAAAGUUGAAACCAAAAGAAGCGAUCAUUUAAAUAGCGAAAAAACAUACACAAAAAAGAAAAAUUAGGGUUUGCUUUUUGGGGGUUUGGGAAUUAUUAUGAAAUUAAUUAAAAAAAUAACCUGAAAACAAGCUCCGCAUCCAACACCUCCCCUGUGAACCGCGGAGCUCCCCGCGGCGACAAACCCACCAUUGAAGCCCAAAGCCAUGGCGCCGUACCCGCAAGCUCCAGCUAUAAGAUCAAAAUUGAAACAAUUAGACCCAAUUUGAGCACAAAUUAGGGCACACAACGAGAAACCCCCAAAUCGAAUUUAUAAAAUUUUGUACCGGAGAGGGGUAGGGAGGAGGAAAACGAGGUCGCUUUGGAUUGGUGGAUGCAUCGAUCGCAAGCCAAAGAGAGAGAGAGGAGGAGAGACAAGGAGAGGGAGAGGGAGAGGAUGGGGAUGGACAUGCUUGUUAGGGUUUUUUAGAGAGAGAAAUCGCGGGGAAAGUGAUUAAUGAGAGAAUUGGGUUUUUGUGGUGGGGGAAGAGAAAGAGGAGGAGGAGGAGGAGGCUUUAAAGAGAAGAAGAGAGUGCGAAGUAAGAGAGAGAGAGAGAGAGAGAGAGAGAGAGAGAGGGUUGAGGAGGUGAUGGUUGUGGGGGUGUAAAGUGGGGGGUGGGUCAAAAGGAGUGCUUCUAAUAAUUAGAAUCCACCCAUUAGGAUAGAGAGAUGAAAAAAUUUAGAAUACACUAAUUAUGUUAAUGAUAUUAUAUUUUUUAAAAAAUUAAAUUAUUUUUUUUAAUUAGAUCAAUUUUAUAUACUUUUUUUAUAAAUAUAGUAAAUUAUAAAUAUAUUUUAAAUUUUAUAUAUUGUUUCUGUAAAAAUUUUGCUGUUUUCAAAUAUGUCCCUGCCGUUAUAAUCCGUUAGAAAAAAUUAAUUAAUCAUAGGUAAAGUAUUUAAUCCUAAUUAAUUGAUGAGGUUAAUUGAUCUUUUUAUCCCUCUUUAAUUAAUAGUUGAGACUUUUAGAGGGGCAUAUUUGUAAUGCCAGAAGAUCAUUUUACUUAUAAAAGAAAUAAUAUUUUAAUGGUAAUAAAGUAAAAAGACAUAUUUAUAAACAUUAGGACUUUUAUAAGGACAACGUAUAAAAGUUGACUUUUAUAGAAAUAUAUUUGUCAUUCACUAUGUUUGUAAGGAGAUGUAUAAAAUUAACCCGUUUGAAUUUAUCUAUUCUAUUACAGUUAUUAAAAAAUAUUUUUAUUGUAUUUUUUAAAAAAAUUACAAUUGACUUGUUAUUAAUGAUACGGUGGAAGCAUUGUAUAUAUAGCAGGCUUUCUCAAGGGAGAGAAUAUUUUGAAAAAAAAAAUAAUUUACUUUUUUGUAUUGUGAGAUUGAAUAAAAUAAAAAAUUAUAUGCAAAACAUACCGUUAAAAAUGGUAUUAAUAAUAUUUUAAAAAAUAUUUAAAUAUUUAAUAAAAUUUUAGAGUGUUUGAUAGUUAAAAUUAAAAAUUAAGGUCUAGCUUGGUGUCGUGUUUAUUUUUUAUAUUUUUAAAUAAUAUUUAUAUACGAGCUACCGUUUGGUUCGGGGUUAAGGAAAAACUAGUUAUUCUAGGGAUAUGGUUAAGUUCAGGGUUAAGGUGGGAUUAGAUUAUUUUUAUAUUUGGUUGAGAAUUGGAGUUAGUUUAGGAUUAAAGAAAAUAGUGUUUGGUUGGAGUAGAUGGGAUAAGAAGGAUAGUGAGUAAAAUAAUGUUUUCUUUGGUUGGAGUAGUGGGGUGGGGUUAGCUGGAAUUAGCUAACCCCACUCCACAUGGGCUAUCCUGGAUUACCCUAAUUGGGAUGGGAUUAGCUAACCCCACCUCCCUAAAAUCAUGUUUGGAAAUAAACUCGGGAUUAAGGGGUUAUCCCACCCCUUAAUCCCCGAACCAAACACAAAAUUAAAGUAUAAGAGUGGACAGCAGACUGUAAAAAUAUAAAAUUUUAUAUAUAAUGUCUUCUCCAACACAUCAAAAUAUAUAAAAUUAGUGUUUAAAAAAAAUAAAAAAAUAACAACAGUAUUAAAAAGAAUCCUAUUACCGUUUGGUUCGGGGUUAAGAAAAAAUUAGUUAUUCCAAGAAUAGGGUUAAGUUCAGAGUUAAGGUGGGGUUAGAGUAUUUUUUAUAUUUGGUUGAGAAUUGGAGUAAUUUCAGAAUUAAGAAAAAUAGUGUUUGGUUGAAGUAGGUGGAAUAAAAAGGAUAGCGGGUAAAAUAGUGUUUUGUUUGGUUGGAGUAGUGGGGUGGAGUGGAGUUAGCUAAUUUUCCACCCCAAAUGGGCUAUUCCAGGAUAGCCCAGUUAGGGUGGGGUUUGCUAACCCCACUCCUUAUUUGAUGUGUUUGGAAAUAAGUUUGGGGUUAAGUGGUUAUUUCACCCCCUAACCCCUAACCAAACACUAGUAAUCUAUUCAAUUACAAAAGUACUAACUUUAUACCAAAUUUAAAUUUUUUUAAAAAAAUUUCUUGUUUCUUUGUUACUAGAUGCAAAUUUUACAUCCUCUCUGCGUAAAGAUUCAGAAUAUCUCUUUAAGCUAGUGGUGUAAACAAGCUGAACACGAGUACCUGGCAGUCGGCUCCGUGUUCAGCUCGUUUAUUAAAUGAGCGAACCCGAGAUGCUGGCUCGUUAACAGUAUCAGAGCCCGAAAAAUCAGCUGCGUGUUCGGCUGCGUUUAUUAGGGCCGAACACGUGAGCUGGCUCACGAGCUGGCCAACGACAAUAAAAUUAAAAAAUAUUUGUGUAAAUAUUAUAAAAAAAAUAAAUUUAUAAAAUUUUAUCCAUUAGACUUUGAUCUAAUAGUUGAAACUUUAUAUAUAAAUGAGUCUUUUUGUAAUUAAGCUCGCAUUUAUAUUUUUAUUUUGCUAAAAUUUAAAUAAUAAAAAUAUAUAUUAUAUAUAAUUAUUUAUUUAUAUAUAAAAAUAUAAAUUAAAUAAAUUAUAUAAAUAUAAAAUAUAUGUAUUCGAGCUGUUGUCGAGCCGAACACGAGCGAGCUGACCCCAGCUCGUGUUCGACUAGUUUAUUAAACGAGCUGAAAAAUUCAGCUCGUGUUCGAUUUGUUUACUAAACGAGCGAGCUGAUCUUGAGCUCAUAUCGAGCCGAACACGAACUGGCUUGCGAACAGCGAGCUGAAUUGCCAUCCCUACUUUAAGCAGUGCUUUUUAUAUAUCCUACUUCUAAAUAUAAAGUUUGCCCAUAGGAAUGUGGUGGUGCACAUUUUUUCACUUGUUUUUUUAUAAUUUGUUUAAAUUAAAAUUUUAAAAUUUUUUUAAUAAAUCUUUAAAUCUUUUAUUGUAAAAUGUACACACCUUUGUAAGU
rnacentral:lncRNA from 1 species